UUAAAUUGAAGAGUUUGAUCAUGGCUCAGAUUGAACGCUGGCGGCAGGCCUAACACAUGCAAGUCGAACGGUAACAGGAAUCAGCUUGCUGAUUCGCU
rnacentral:rRNA from 3 species